GCGGUAAAAGCUCAAAUUUGAAAUCUGGUACUUUCAGUGCCCGAGUUGUAAUUUGUAGAAUUUGUCUUUGAUUAGGUCCUUGUCUAUGUUCCUUGGAACAGGACGUCAUAGAGGGUGAGAAUCCCGUUUGGCGAGGAUACCUUUUCUCUGUAAGACUUUUUCGAAGAGUCGAGUUGUUUGGGAAUGCAGCUCAAAGUGGGUGGUAAAUUCCAUCUAAAGCUAAAUAUUGGCGAGAGACCGAUAGCGAACAAGUACAGUGAUGGAAAGAUGAAAAGAACUUUGAAAAGAGAGUGAAAAAGUACGUGAAAUUGUUGAAAGGGAAGGGCAUUUGAUCAGACAUGGUGUUUUUUGCAUGCACUCGCCUCUCGUGGGCUUGGGCCUCUCAAAAAUUUCACUGGGCCAACAUCAAUUCUGGCAGUAGGAUAAAUCAUUAAGAAUGUAGCUACCUCGGUAGUGUUAUAGCUUAUUGGAAUACUGCUAGCUGGGAUUGAGGACUGCGCUUCGGCAAGGAUGUUGGCAUAAUGGUUAAAUGCCGCCCGUCU
rnacentral:rRNA from 1 species